GUUAGGUUUGAAGGAAGGAGCGUCGAUCCCUAUUCCCACAAUUGAUUGUAACGUUGGUUUUCACUUUCCAUGUUCUCAUGAAUCCACAUAAAUCAAUUAAAUUCAGAGCACCUCACCACUCUUUCGCUAGAUUAAGAUUUGAUCAUCUAAAAAUCUUCUAGCUUUACACGCUCUAUAGUGAAAUUGCCUUCCAAUCACGCAUCAUUUUUCAAUUCUGUCAGAAACUCAGUUUCCGACAUAACCACGAUAUUGUUUUACAAUUGGGAUGAUCGACGAGAAGGUCAUGAAUCCGAACGAGAUUGAUACGAUAAGCAGAUCACAAACAAUUCCCACCAAGAUUUUCCUUAACUGCGUGUCUCUCUUUGAUUUAAAGAUCCAAACAUGGGAAAUGGCAAUGGCAAGCGUUUGUUCGACAUUCAAGAAUCAUAAGCACCUAACCUCAUAAAACUAAAGUGGGAUCCAUCAGAAAUAAUUUACACAAAGUUUAUCAUCGAGAUGUUAGUGGCACUUUACUUUGUUCCAUUUAGUUUUUCAUUUUACGUGCUUCUUUCUUUAUAAUUAAAAGGUUCAAUACACUAGACUCCAGUUUCUACAAUAAAACUUACUCAUAUUUACGACUUGGUUUAGUUACAAAAUGGUCAUCUAUGCCAUGCCAUGUAUUGUAUAUUUCAGGUUUCUAAAGGCUUCAGAGGUCUCAGGUAUCCAAAAUAAUGUGUUUCAAAUCUACUUUCUUUAACCACCUACUUAACAAAAUCAGUUAUCUUACUCUUCCAUUCAAUUUGGUCUUUAUAUUGUGUAUGUGCACAUUCCAUGGGACCCCUUAAUUAUUCUCCUUUUUCUGCUUCAGUGGUGAAGUGGUGACAUAAUGGGAGUGGAAGCAAAAACAGAGCACAGAGAAAUUAUGAUUGACCUUUUCAAGUUCAUCCAUUUAUGCACAUAUAUAUAGUUAUGCCUGUUUUUGUUUGUCAUUUCCUCUUACAAAUUUCUGAAGCAUACAAUUUGGCAUAGGUAAGAAUUAAUAUAAAUUUUGUAUCCUCCAUACAUUUUGGAGUCAGAGACAUGAUAACACUUCACUGAAUAGAUACGUUUAGAGAUGA